rnacentral:rRNA from 1 species
GACGAACGCUGGCGGCGUGCUUAACACAUGCAAGUCGAACGGAAAGGCCCUGCUUUUGUGGGGUGCUCGAGUGGCGAACGGGUGAGUAACACGUGAGUAACCUGCCCUUGACUUUGGGAUAACUUCAGGAAACUGGGGCUAAUACCGGAUAGGAGCCCCUGCUGCAUGGUGGGGGUUGGAAAGUUUCGGCGGUUGGGGAUGGACUCGCGGCUUAUCAGCUUGUUGGUGGGGUAGUGGCUUACCAAGGCUUUGACGGGUAGCCGGCCUGAGAGGGUGACCGGCCACAUUGGGACUGAGAUACGGCCCAGACUCCUACGGGAGGCAGCAGUGGGGAAUAUUGCACAGUGGGCGGAAGCCUGAUGCAGCAACGCCGCGUGCGGGAUGACGGCCUUCGGGUUGUAAACCGCUUUCGCCUGUGACGAAGCGUGAGUGACGGUAAUGGGUAAAGAAGCACCGGCUAACUACGUG